UGGCAGUGAAGUAUCAGCUGCAGUAAUGUUCUGCGUAAGAAAGUCUCUCUUAACCUACGUUGAGAAAGACGCAAGGCGUACUCACGUCGGCUAGCAUUACUGGAGGUUUUCAACCAGGCAAAUACCAGUUCAUCUGCAUUGGGAAAAAGAAGUAUUAUUUGCGCCACACGACCAGUGUCCAUCAGUAUGAAACUGCUGUCAGCCAUCUUGCUAUUAUCUGCAGCUACUCUUAUUAGUUUAGCAUCCGAAGAGAAACGCAUUUGGCCGCUGACCAUUACUAACAACAAUACGUGUCUGUUUGGCCAGUACCAAAUACCGAACGGGAUAUGCUUAGACGUCCACCGUCCCUGCGUAAGCUUGUGCUGCAGCGCACCGACAUCUCAGCUGAUAAUCAAUGGGUGUCCUCUACCAGACGGCUUUGAUAAAAAAUUUGAUGGCUGGUGGUAUUGGCCGAAUUGCUGUGUUCCACGACGCCGUUUACCACGGCCAAAAUAUCAUCCACGGGGUCUUUAUUACGGAAUAGACGGUUCCUGGAGGUACCGCUAUGAAAACGCAAACUCUGAGUAAAUUUUAUUGACCUCAAUAAAGUUGUACUCGUCCA